rnacentral:rRNA from 1 species
AGCGAACGCUGGCGGCAGGCUUAACACAUGCAAGUCGAACGCCCCGCAAGGGGAGUGGCAGACGGGUGAGUAACACGUGGGAACGUACCCUGUGGUUCGGAAUAACUUGGGGAAACUCAAGCUAAUACCGGAUAAGCGCUUAUGGGGAAAGGUUUACUGCCGAAGGAUCGGCCCGCGUCUGAUUAGCUAGUUGGUGAGGUAAUGGCUCACCAAGGCGACUAUCAGUAGCUGGUCUGAGAGGAUGAUCAGCCACACUGGGACUGAGACACGGCCCAGACUCCUACGGGAGGCAGCAGUGGGGAAUAUUGGACAAUGGGGGCAACCCUGAUCCAGCCAUGCCGCGUGAGUGAUGAAGGCCUUAGGGUUGUAAAGCUCUUUUACCCGGGACGAUAAUGACUGUACCGGGAGAAUAAGCCCCGGCUAACUUCGUGCCAGCCGCCGCCGUAA